GCCAACGUCGCAUAACCUGGUAUUGCGCAAGCCUGGAAAGCUUGUUUCCUCACGGAUAUCCCGGUUCAAAUCCGGGCGUUGGCG
rnacentral:tRNA from 1 species